CUUAACACAAAACAGUAGCUAAUAAAAAAAUAUAUAAAGAAAAUGAAAGAGAGGAAAAGGGCACUAUGCUCUUACGAGGCCCGGCACAGACUGUGCUCAUAAAGCCUAUUGCUACAGUGCAUAAGGCCCAGCCCGCAUUGGCCUUUUCCCCAACCUCUCACCAGAGGCAGAGUGGCCAUGGCACGUACGCCGUCCACCCGCCGAUUGCCUCGCUGUCAAGCAUCCCGCGGCCCUUUGGUGGAUAAGGAGACCGUCCCCGACGCCGCUGUCGAACCCUACCUUAUCCACUUCUUCCCCCUUGCUCUCCUCCCCGAUCUGGAGAGGCACCCGUACGCAGCCGUCGACGCCGCCUCGUUGUUGGCACGCUCCGGCACCACCCCGUCCCGCUCGAAGGCACCCAGGAGCUGCGCCUCGACGCCCUCUACCUCCACAACAACACUCUCGAGCAGGGACGUACUGUACAGUCGCCAUCGAGCUCAUCUCCGCGUACAUCAUGGCCGUCCGCCGUCGUUUGCCGCUAAUCCAGUCCAUCCCCGGCCGCCCCGACCACGUCCCCGAGUCCACUAUCCCGAGACCGCUGCCGGUACCCCUGUGAUCGCCUACAUCGACGACGAACCCUUCUUACCAGAGCAACCAGGCAAGCCCCCCCCCCCC